rnacentral:sRNA from 1 species
GCCAGGCACGGUGGCACAUACCUGUAAUCCCAGUGGCUCAGGAGGCUGAGACAGGAGGAUCGCGAGUUCAAAGCCAGCCUCAGCAACGGCAAGGCGCUAAGCAACUCAGUGAGACCCUGUCUCUA